AAAGGAAUUGACGGGGACCCGCACAAGCGGUGGAGCAUGUGGUUUAAUUCGAAGCAACGCGAAGAACCUUACCAAAUCUUGACAUCCCUUCGACCGGUACUUAAUGGUACCCUCUCUUCGGAGCGAAGGUGACAGGUGGUGCAUGGUUGUCGUCAGCUCGUGUCGUGAGAUGUUGGGUUAAGUCCCGCAACGAGCGCAACCCUUAUCUUUAGUAGCCAGCAGUUCGGCUGGGCACUCUAGAGAGACUGCCGGGGAUAACCCGGAGGAAGGUGGGGAUGACGUCAAAUCAUCAUGCCCCUUAUGAUUUGGGCUACACACGUGCUACAAUGGCGUAAACAAAGAGAAGCAGCCCUGUGAAGGUGAGCAAAUCUCAAAAAUAACGUCUCAGUUCGGAUUGUAGUCUGCAACUCGACUACAUGAAGCUGGAAUCGCUAGUAAUCGCGAAUCAGAAUGUCGCGGUGAAUACGUUCCCGGGUCUUGUACACACCGCCCGU
rnacentral:rRNA from 1 species